AUAAAAGCGGCUUACGAAUAAAAGGCACAUAAGCUAGCAUGUAUUAAAAUCAGAUAAAAAUCUAAUGCAACAGUUAAGCAACUGCUAGAACCACGGAACACGGAAAUGCCUACCACCUUCUCCCGAGUUAACAGAAUUCCUUAUCCGGAUUUCUGGAUCGCAGACUGUAAUACAGAGUCAAUAUUUUCACGGUUCGGGAUUAACCCGGUGACUUGGGACACCAUAAAUCUCCCAAGUGGCGACUCUGAAUAAUUAUUAAAUAAAUCCUGCUCUGCAUGUCCUUUAAUUGGAAAAAGUCCUUUACGCCCCUUUCGCGUGUGUAAGUGAAAAAGGAGGUGUGACAAUCAAAAAUUGCUAAAAGAAGUAAAGUA
rnacentral:lncRNA from 1 species